GAUAAAGAAAGGGGGAGAGAAAGAGAGUGUGUAAUAUAGGCAAAGCAAGAUGAGGAAAGAGGUUAUAGAGAGUGUGUAAUAUAGGCAAAGCAAGAUGAGGAAAGAGGUUAUAGAGAGUGUGUAAUAUAGGCAAAGCAAGAUGAGGAAAGAGGUUAUAGAGAGUGUGUAAUAUAGGCAAAGCAAGAUGAGGAAAGAGGUUAUAGAGAGUGUGUAAUAUAGGCAAAGCAAGAUGAGGAAAGAGGUUAUAGAGAGUGUGUAAUAUAGGCAAAGCAAGAUGAGGAAAGAGGUUAUAGAGAGUGUGUAAUAUAGGCAAAGCAAGAUGAGGAAAGAGGUUAUAGAGAGUGUGUAAUAUAGGCAAAGCAAGAUGAGGAAAGAGGUUAUAGAGAGUGUGUAAUAUAGGCAAAGCAAGAUGAGGAAAGAGGUUAUAGAGAGUGUGUAAUAUAGGCAAAGCAAGAUGAGGAAAGAGGUUAUAGAGAGUGUGUAAUAUAGGCAAAGCAAGAUGAGGAAAGAGGUUAUAGAGAGUGUGUAAUAUAGGCAAAGCAAGAUGAGGAAAGAGGUUAUAGAGAGUGUGUAAUAUAGGCAAAGCAAGAUGAGGAAAGAGGUUAUAGAGAGUGUAAUAUAGGCAAAGCAAGAUGAGGAAAGAGGUUAUAGAGAGUGUAAUAUAGGCAAAGCAAGAUGAGGAAAGAGGUUAUAGAGAGUGUGUAAUAUAGGCAAAGCAAGAUGAGGAAAGAGGUUAUAGAGAGUGUGUAAUAUAGGCAAAGCAAGAUGAGGAAAGAGGUUAUAGAGAGUGUGUAAUAUAGGCAAAGCAAGAUGAGGAAAGAGGUUAUAGAGAGUGUGUAAUAUAGGCAAAGCAAGAUGAGGAAAGAGGUUAUAGAGAGUGUGUAAUAUGGGCAAAGCAAGAUGAGGAAAGAGGUUAUAGAGAGUGUGUAAUAUAGGCAAAGCAAGAUGAGGAAAGAGGUUAUAGAGAGUGUGUAAUAUAGGCAAAGCAAGAUGAGGAAAGAGGUUAUAGAGAGUGUGUAAUAUAGGCAAAGCAAGAUGAGGAAAGAGGUUAUAGAGAGUGUGUAAUAUAGGCAAAGCAAGAUGAGGAAAGAGGUUAUAGAGAGUGUGUAAUAUAGGCAAAGCAAGAUGAGGAAAGAGGUUAUAGAGAGUGUGUAAUAUAGGCAAAGCAAGAUGAGGAAAGAGGUUAUAGAGAGUGUGUAAUAUAGGCAAAGCAAGAUGAGGAAAGAGGUUAUAGAGAGUGUGUAAUAUAGGCAAAGCAAGAUGAGGAAAGAGGUUAUAGAGAGUGUGUAAUAUAGGCAAAGCAAGAUGAGGAAAGAGGUUAUAGAGAGUGUGUAAUAUAGGCAAAGCAAGAUGAGG